rnacentral:rRNA from 1 species
ACGAACGCUGGCGGCGUGCUUAACACAUGCAAGUCGAACGGAAAGGCCCUGCUUUUGUGGGGUGCUCGAGUAGCGAACGGGUGAGUAACACGUGAGUAACCUGCCCUUGACUUUGGGAUAACUUCAGGAAACUGGGGCUAAUACCGGAUAGGAGCUCCUGCUGCAUGGUGGGGGUUGGAAAGUUUCGGCGGUUGGGGAUGGACUCGCGGCUUAUCAGCUUGUUGGUGGGGUAGUGGCUUACCAAGGCUUUGACGGGUAGCCGGCCUGAGAGGGUGACCGGCCACAUUGGGACUGAGAUACGGCCCAGACUCCUACGGGAGGCAGCAGUGGGGAAUAUUGCACAAUGGGCGGAAGCCUGAUGCAGCAACGCCGCGUGCGGGAUGACGGCCUUCGGGUUGUAAACCGCUUUCGCCUGUGACGAAGCGUGAGUGACGGUAAUGGGUAAAGAAGCACCGGCUAACUACGUG